UGUCAUUCUUGCAAGGGUUAAACUCGAUGUUUGUUGUAUCAUUUUAAUUGUUCGUUUCAGAUACGUUUUCCGGAGUUUAUCAAGAGAAUGGUGUAUGUAAAUGGAAGUUGUAGACGUUGAUGAUUUGGGGGGUGAAAAAUGAGGUCUAAUGGUUCCGUCCGACUGAAUCCUUGGACAUCGUCGAGUAAGUGGUUUACGACCGCGGCCUGUCCCGCCCAGAGGGAGGCUGCAGCAGGGUUUCGCUUCUACUCCUUUUUCCACAUGUUCUCUAUAUUUGGUAUCUAAAACAUAUUGUAAAAAUCAUUACUUUUUGAAUAAUAAAUAAAAGAUAUUUUUCUAUGACA